rnacentral:rRNA from 1 species
AUUUAGUAAAUUAUUGGGAUAGGUAAAGAUUAUAAUAGAAAUAAUUUUAUAGAUUUAGUUUUUAGUAUAUUUUGUAGGAAAAAUAUUUUUAAUUAUAGUAUAUUAGUAUUGAAAAAGAAGUUUGAAAUAUUUGUAAAAUAAGUCAAAGUAGAGUUGAGGUUCUUGUACCUUGUGUAUCAGGGUUUAUUAAUUAAUAUUUAUGGUUUAUAAAUUUCCCGAUUUUAAGAGGUCAAAUAGAUUAUUUUUUUUAUUGUGGAAUAAAUAUUUAUAAUAGUUUAUUAGUAAUGAAACGUUAUUCGUUCUUAAAGAUAUCUGGUUUAUUUAGAAAUAGAUUUAAUUUAGUUAAUUUAAUUUAGUAAUUAUAAGUAUUUAUAGUUGGGGAUUUUAUUGAAAAUAUUUAAAGGGAUUAGCUUUUAAAUAUAAUUUUAUAAUAUAUAAUAUUUUAGGAUAAAAAAAUAGGUUUAGAAAUAUUUAUUAUUAAUAGUUUGUUAUAAUUAUUUUAUUUUUGAUUAUUAUUUUAUAUGUAUUUAAUUUUUUAUAAAUAAGUAUUAUUUAAUUAGGAAGUAUUAGAUAUAAUGGUUAAAUUAGUAUAUAAAAUUAUUUAAAUAAUUAUAAGUUUAAAGAUUAUUUAAAGGAAUUCGGCAAAAUUUUUUAUUCGCCUGUUUAACAAAAACAUGUCCUUUAGAUUUAAUUAAAGGUUUAACCUGCCCACUGAAAUUUUUAAAUGGCCGCAGUAAAUUGACUGUGCAAAGGUAGCAUAAUCAAUAGUUUUUUAAUUAAAAGCUUGUAUGAAUGGUUGGACGAGAUAAAGACUGUCUUUAAUUAAUAAGUAGAAUUUAAUUUUUAAGUUAAAAAGCUUAAAUGUUAUUAAAAGACGAGAAGACCCUAUAGAUCUUUAUAAUAAAUUGAUUAUUUAUAUUAAGGAUUAAUUUUUAUUUUAUUGAGUUUAUUAUUUUAUUGGGGUAAUAGGAAGAUUGAAAAAAUUCUUUUUUGAUUUAGACAAUGAUUGUUGGUUUAUUGAUCCAUUAAUAUUGAUUAAAAGAUUAAGUUACCUUAGGGAUAACAGCGUAAUUUUUUUAGAGAGUUCAUAUCGAUAAAAAAGUUUGCGACCUCGAUGUUGGAUUAAAAAUUAUUCUAGGUGUAGUAGUUUAGAGUUUUGGUCUGUUCGACCAUUAAAUUUUUACAUGAUCUGAGUUCAGACCGGUGUAAGCCAGGUCGGUUUCUAUCUUUAGUUAAUUGGGAUAUUUUAGUACGAAAGGACCAAAUAUUUAAUAUAUUAAUAUUUUUUGUUUGAAUAUUAUU